rnacentral:lncRNA from 1 species
GAUGUGCACAAUUCUUAUUAACUCCACUGACUAGAAAUCUUUAGGAGGUGAUUGAUGUGACUAUUCUGAAAUGAAGAAGCUACUAGCAUUCAAAACUACAAAGGUGAUUACUGAAGAUGAUGGACUACUAACUUCUGUAGGAGAGAGUAUUUUUCUAUUAAGGGGCACUGCUGCUUGUAAGAGAUGUUGACCAGAGGCUGGGGGAGUUACCUGCUCUUCAAGGUUGGUGACUGUAGCUGUGACUCUGCAGUGCCAUUUAGCAGCUGGUAGCUGAAGACAUGCUGCAUGCAAUCCAGGGCAGGAGGCUGGUGCC